AGAUGGCGACCGGCGCACGGGUGAGUAACACGUAUCCAACCUGCCGAUAACUCGGGGAUAGCCUUUCGAAAGAAAGAUUAAUACCCGAUGGUAUAAUCAGACCGCAUGGUUUGAUUAUUAAAGAAUUUCGGUUAUCGAUGGGGAUGCGUUCCAUUAGGCAGUUGGCGGGGUUACGGCCCACCAAGGCAACGAUGGAUAGGGGUUCUGAGAGGAAGGUCCCCCACACUGGUACUGAGACACGGACCAG
rnacentral:rRNA from 1 species